UACAGAGGUCCCAAGCGUCGUUCGGAUUCACUGGGCGUAAAGGGUGCGUAGGUGGCCAGGUAAGUUCGGUGUGAAAGCUCGGAGCUUAACUCCGAAAUGGCAUUGAAUACUAUCUGGCUGGAGGGUCGGAGGGGAGACUGGAAUUCUCGGUGUAGCAGUGAAAUGCGUAGAUAUCGAGAGGAACACCAGUGGCGAAGGCGAGUCUCUGGACGACUCCUGACACUGAGGCACGAAAGCCAGGGGAGCAAACAGG
rnacentral:rRNA from 1 species